UACGAAGGGGGCUAGCGUUGUUCGGAUUUACUGGGCGUAAAGCGCACGUAGGCGGAUCGUUAAGUCGGGGGUGAAAUCCUGGAGCUCAACUCCAGAACUGCCUUCGAUACUGGCGAUCUCGAGUCCGGAAGAGGUGAGUGGAACUCCUAGUGUAGAGGUGGAAUUCGUAGAUAUUAGGAAGAACACCAGUGGCGAAGGCGGCUCACUGGUCCGGUACUGACGCUGAGGUGCGAAAGCGUGGGUAGCAAACAGG
rnacentral:rRNA from 1 species